CAAAAGCGUAUAUUAAAGUUGUUGCAGUUAAAGAGCUCGUAGUUGAACCUUGGGCUUGGCUGGCCGGUCCAUCUUUUUUGAUGCGUACUGGACCCAGCCGAGCCUUUCCUUCUGGCUAGCCUUUUGGCGAACCAGGACUUUUACUUUGAAAAAAUUAGAGUGUUCAAAGCAGGCCUUUGCUCGAAUAUAUUAGCAUGGAAUAAUAGAAUAGGACGUUAUGGUUCUAUUUUGUUGGUUUCUAGGACCAUCGUAAUGAUUAAUAGGGACGGUCGGGGGUAUCAGUAUUCAGUUGUCAGAGGUGAAAUUCUUGGAUUUACUGAAGACUAACUACUGCGAAAGCAUUUACCAAGGACGUUUUCAUUAA
rnacentral:rRNA from 1 species